rnacentral:rRNA from 1 species
CCUACGGGUAGCAGCAGUGGGGAAUAUUGGACAAUGGGCGAAAGCCUGAUCCAGCCAUGCCGCGUGUGUGAAGAAGGCCUUCGGGUUGUAAAGCACUUUCAGUGGGGAAGAAAGCCUUGGGGCUAAUACCCUCGAGGAAGGACAUCACCCACAGAAGAAGCACCGGCUAACUCCGUGCCAGCAGCCGCGGUAAUACGGAGGGUGCGAGCGUUAAUCGGAAUUACUGGGCGUAAAGCGCGCGUAGGCGGUCUGAUAAGCCGGUUGUGAAAGCCCCGGGCUCAACCUGGGAACGGCAUCCGGAACUGUCAGGCUAGAGUGCAGGAGAGGAAGGUAGAAUUCCCGGUGUAGCGGUGAAAUGCGUAGAGAUCGGGAGGAAUACCAGUGGCGAAGGCGGCCUUCUGGACUGACACUGACGCUGAGGUGCGAAAGCGUGGGUAGCAAACAGGAUUAGAUACCCUAGAGUC